rnacentral:tRNA from 1 species
GGUGAGGUGGAUGAGAGGCUGAAAUCAACUCACUGCUAACGAGUCAAGCUGUAACAGGCUUCGUGGGUUCGAAUCCCACCCUCACCG